rnacentral:rRNA from 1 species
GUGGGGAAUAUUGGACAAUGGGGGGAACCCUGAUCCAGCCAUGCCGCGUGUGUGAAGAAGGCCUUUUGGUUGUAAAGCACUUUAAGCGAGGAGGAGGCUACCGAGAUUAAUACUCUUGGAUAGUGGACGUUACUCGCAGAAUAAGCACCGGCUAACUCUGUGCCAGCAGCCGCGGUAAUACAGAGGGUGCAAGCGUUAAUCGGAUUUACUGGGCGUAACGCGCGCGUAGGUGGCCAAUUAAGUCAAAUGUGAAAUCCACGAGCUUAACUUGGGAAUUGCAUUCGAUACUGGUUGGCUAGAGUAUGGGAGAGGAUGGUAGAAUUCCAGGUGUAGCGGUGAAAUGCGUAGAGAUCUGGAGGAAUACCGAUGGCGAAGGCAGCCAUCUGGCCUAAUACUGACACUGAGGUGCGAAAGCAUGGGGAGCAAACAGGAUUAGAUACCCCAGUAGUCC